rnacentral:piRNA from 1 species
UGACCUUGAAGUCGCAGGACUCACCCUAC